CUACGUGCCAGCAGCCGCGGUAAUACGGAAGGUCCAGGCGUUAUCCGGAUUUAUUGGGUUUAAAGGGAGUGUAGGCGGUUUGUUAAGCGUGUUGUGAAAUUUAGAUGCUCAACAUUUAACUUGCAGCGCGAACUGGCGAACUUGAGUGCACACAACGUAUGCGGAAUUCAUGGUGUAGCGGUGAAAUGCUUAGAUAUCAUGAAGAACUCCGAUUGCGAAGGCAGCAUACGGGAGUGUAACUGACGCUUAAGCUCGAAGGUGCGGGUAUCGAACAGGAUUAGAUACCCUGGUAGUCCGCACGGUAAACGAUGAAUACUCGCAGUUCGGCCUUUUAGGUCGAGUUGUCCAGCGAAAGCGUUAAGUAUUCCACCUGGGGAGUACGCCGGCAACGGUGAAACUCAAAGGAAUUGACGGGGGCCCGCACAAGCGGAGGAACAUGUGGUUUAAUUCGAUGAUACGCGAGGAACCUUACCCGGGCU
rnacentral:rRNA from 1 species